GGAGAGAUGUCCGAGCGGCCGAAGGAGCACGACUGGAAAUCGUGUGUUCCGCUAAAAAGCGGAACCGAGGGUUCAAAUCCCUCUCUCUCCGCCA
rnacentral:tRNA from 1 species